rnacentral:rRNA from 1 species
ACGGGUGAGUAACACGUGACUAACCUGCCUUCUAGUGCGGGACGCCUUUGUUAACCGGGGCUAAUACCGCAUAACAUCUCUGAAAACAGAGGAGCGCUGGAAGAGGGGGUCGCGGCUGAUUAGCUAGUUGGCGGGGUAACGGCCCACCAAGGCGAUGAUCGGUAGCCGGCCUGAGAGGGCGCACGGCCACACUGGAACUGAAACGGUCCAGACUCCUACGGGAGGCAGCAGUGGGGAAUUUUGCGCAAUGGGGGAAACCCUGACGCAGCAACGCCGCGUGGAGGAUGAAGCCCCUUGGGGCGUAAACUCCUUUCGACCGGGACGAUUGACGGUACCGGUGGAAGAAGCACCGGCUAACUCUGUGCCAGCAGCCGCGGUAAUACAGAGGGUGCAAGCGUUGUUCGGAAUUAUUGGGCGUAAAGGGCGCGUAGGCGGCGCGGUAAGUCACCUGUGAAACCUCCGGGCUUAACUCGGAGCCUGCAGGCGAAAC